CAGCAGUAGCCGCGGGAAUACGUAGGGUGCAAGCGUUAAUCGGAAUUACUGGGCGUAAAGCGUGCGCAGGCGGUUAUAUAAGACAGAUGUGAAAUCCACGGGCUCAACCUGGGAACUGCAUUUGUGACUGUAUAGCUAGAGUACGGCAGAGGGGGAUGGAAUUCCGCGUGUAGCAGUGAAAUGCGUAGAUAUGCGGAGGAACACCGAUGGCGAAGGCAAUCCCCUGGGCCUGUACUGACGCUCAUGCACGAAAGCGUGGGGAGCAAACAGGAUUAGAUACCCCUGUAGUCCCUGUCUCUUAUAC
rnacentral:rRNA from 1 species